CAUUCCCUGAAUUUCCCAAAGAACAGGAGAAAAUGAGAAAAAGAAAAUUCCUUCCCCAGACAAAAGUCUAAAGUUUCCACCAACACAGAUGGUCUGACUUAAGGAAAGUUUUUACAGCCGUCUCCUUAAAAAAAAAAAAAAAAAAAAAAGUAUUUAAGUUUUCCCUAUAUGGAGGAAAAAUAAAGAGGAAAACAGCUCAAGACGUAGACUGAGAUAUCAAGUGAGAGGCCAUUCAAGCACAGGACAAUAUUGAAACGAUCAGGGUUGAUACGGUUUUAGGGGAGAACCCUGGAGCCGGAGAGUGUAAGUGACAGCCAGCUGGAAGUCCCCCAGUGUGACUUACACACACACCUCUAUUCACCCAAGAGCGAGCCCCCACUUAGAAACGACGGCAAAUGGCAGACGGAUCGGCAGUGACCUCCCCAACCGCAGCCCCCUCCGCUCGUCCUGGCCAUGAACAAGAUGUUCUGGUGGCUCUGGUUUGGGCUUAACUGAAGGGCCUCCACCUCUCGCUGCCUUGGCCUCCAUCUCUGGCAACCAAUGGACCUCUCCCCAUCCCCACUGCAUGCAUUCGAGCCUUUUCAGGACUCCUAACUAGUGGUUAUUCAGUCAUCAUUGAGGCAGGAAUCAGAUCCUUGCCUUAUAAUCAGAGCCAGCCACUUCUCAUGGGGCUCAGCAAGUUGAUUCAAUGCCAUAGGGAAAAUCUAUCAUUCUGGGGUUUGGUUUAGACCUCCGUCGUCUUGAUUUCGUUCUCCUUCCAUCUCAGGCCAUUACCCAAAACUCUUCGGGGCUCUGACGUAAAGCAGACCUCUGUCUGAACCCAGCAUCUAUCAGUAUCUGUCUGGAAAACCUUGGGCAAAUGUCCUGUGCUCUGUCAUCAUUUGUGUUAGGGGAAAAAAAAAAAAAAAAAAAAAAAAGGGCGAAACUCUGAAUAUAGGCAGGUUAUCACUUAGUGGUUUGUGUGGGUUUUGGUAUGGUUGUUUCAAUUGUUUUUUGGAAGGGGUCAGAAAUAGCCCACAUUCAGAGGGUUCCAUUUACCUGUGGAAAAAACAAUCUUGGCCACACAGACAAGUUCAAAACGGAGCGCUCAUAUGCCAGAAAAUGAGGAUACGUGUUGCAUUUCCGCAAUGGCAGCCACGGUCAGGGCUGAAUCAGUGUGGAUAUAAACAAGCAAGAUGCUGCUCUGGGCUUCCGGGCGUGCGGCCACCCCCACGCCCGUGUUCCAGCAAGUGUGGCCUCGUCUGUUGCUCAGAUCACCGUGCUUGCUUCCUGCCUCAGGAUCUUUGCUUGUGCCAUUUCUUCUGGCUUAGGGUCCUCCUCCUUCAGUCAGCAGUGUCACUCGAGAGUGUCAGGCAGUUUGCCAGGGGAUGCAUUGCUGACCAAGACUGAGACCUCACGGAGCUUCUGUCCUAUGGGUGUGUGAGAAGACUGAGGCAAAUAAUCCACUGAAAGGACAAUUUUGCCGUAAGUACCAAGAACGUAAUUAAACAUAGUCAUGGUAGAAAAAGUGACCAGACACAAGGUCAAGGAACCCCUCUUUGAGGAGGAUAUUUUGGAGAAGAGAUAUUUUGAACUGAGCUGUAAAUGGUGCAGGUCAUGCCAAUAUUUAAGGAAGGAUCAUUUCAGACAGAAGGAAUAGUGAGAGCAAAAGCCAUACGAGGGAACUUACUCCCAAGACAGCUGCCAAUGAGUUCUUUCCUCCCUGUAAAUACACGCUCCUGCCAUGAAAAAGUGUAACCUAUUUCUCCUGGGUCCUUGAAUCUGGGUCGGCUUUGGCAACUCUCUUGUCUCUUAGAAUGAGACAGAAGUGACAUUCUGGCAUUUCUGAGGCCAGGGCAUAAAAUGUCCUACAGGAUCCACCUGGACCUCUGGGACCCCUCUCAUGGGAUGCUCCCCCUCGGACCCCAGGUGCCGUGCGACAAGAAUCCCAGAGGCCACACGAAGAGGCCCCAUUCAACACGCCCAGGUGAGCUCCUAGCCCACAGCAGCAUCAACUGCCACUUACAUGAGGGGCCAACCUGGAGGUCCAGUCCAGUCCAGUCUCGUCCCGUCAACGACAGGUUGCAACUACAAGCAAAAACCCACCCAGCUGAGCCCAAGUGACCACAGAACUGGAGUAAGCAGUCGGAAAGUGCUGUGGAAACCACACCAUCCCAGGGUGAUUUGUUACACAGCAGGGAGGAACCCGAACACCCUAGGACUCUUCUCUGACUAUCUCCUGCCCAUUAAUCCUUAUUAAGUCCUUCCCAUAUUUCAACUCAAACCUUAAUCCCACAGAGCAAACUUCUUGACAACCCUCACCCCAGAGGCUCAGACACCCUCCUGUGUAUUUUCACAACAGAAGCUUCUCCUUCACAGCACUUGCGUCGAGCUACACUUUGUAUUUCUUUUUUUAUAUAAAUUCAAUGAAUUUUAUUAUACUUAUAGUUGUACAACCAUCACCACAACCUAGUUUUA
rnacentral:lncRNA from 1 species